rnacentral:miRNA from 1 species
AGUUUUGCAGGUUUGCAUUUCA